CGGUAAUACGGAGGGUGCAAGCGUUGUUCGGAAUUAUUGGGCGUAAAGCGCGUGUAGGCGGUCACGCAAGUCAGAUGUGAAAGCCUUCCGCUUAACGGAAGAAGUGCAUUUGAAACUGCGUGACUAGAGUACGGGAGAGGAGAGUGGAAUUCCCGGUGUAGAGGUGAAAUUCGUAGAUAUCGGGAGGAACACCAGUGGCGAAGGCGGCUCUCUGGCCUAAUACUGACGCUGAGACGCGAAAGCGUGGGGAGCAAACAGGAUUAGAUACCCUGGUAGUCCACGCUGUAAACGAUGGGCACUAGGUGUAGGAGGUAUUGACCCCUUCUGUGCCGAAGCUAACGCAUUAAGUGCCCCGCCUGGGGAGUACGGCCGCAAGGUUAAA
rnacentral:rRNA from 1 species